rnacentral:piRNA from 1 species
UCCUUGAUGUAAAAGGCUGGCUAGCGA